UACGAAGGGGGCUAGCGUUGCUCGGAAUUACUGGGCGUAAAGCGCACGUAGGCGGUCUUUUAAGUCGGGGGUGAAAUCCUGGAGCUCAACUCCAGAACUGCCUUCGAUACUGGAAGACUUGAGUCCGGGAGAGGUGAGUGGAACUGCGAGUGUAGAGGUGAAAUUCGUAGAUAUUCGCAAGAACACCGGUGGCGAAGGCGGCGAUCUGGGUCGAUACUGACGCUGAGGUGCGAAAGCGUGGGGAGCAAACAGG
rnacentral:rRNA from 1 species